UACGUAGGGGGCGAGCGUUGUCCGGAAUCAUUGGGCGUAAAGAGCUCGUAGGCGGCUCAGUAAGUCAGGUGUGAAAGCUCCGAGCUCAACUCGGAGAGGCCACCUGAUACUGCUGUGACUAGAAUCCAGUAGGGGAGUGUGGAACUCCUGGUGUAGCGGUGAAAUGCGCAGAUAUCAGGAAGAACACCAGCGGCGAAGGCGGCACUCUGGGCUGGAAUUGACGCUGAGGAGCGAAAGUGUGGGUAGCAAACAGG
rnacentral:rRNA from 1 species